rnacentral:rRNA from 1 species
UUGCACGCUGGCGGCAGGCCUCACACAUGCAAGUCGCACGGUAACAGGAAGCAGCUUGCUGCUUCGCUGACGAGUGGCGGACGGGUGAGUAAUGUCUGGGAAGCUGCCUGAUGGAGGGGGAUAACUACUGGAAACGGUAGCUAAUACCGCAUAAUGUCGCAAGACCAAAGAGGGGGACCUUCGGGCCUCUUGCCAUCGGAUGUGCCCAGAUGGGAUUAGCUUGUUGGUGGGGUAACGGCUCACCAAGGCGACGAUCCCUAGCUGGUCUGAGAGGAUGACCAGCCACACUGGGACUGAGACACGGUCCAGACUCCUACGGGAGGCAGCAGUGGGGAAUAUUGCACAAUGGGCGCAAGCCUGAUGCAGCCAUGCCGCGUGUAUGAAGAAGGCCUUCGGGUUGUAAAGUACUUUCAGCGGGGAGGAAGGGAGUAAAGUUAAUACCUUUGCUCAUUGACGUUACCCGCAGAAGAAGCACCGGCUAACUCCGUG